rnacentral:rRNA from 1 species
GAUGAAUGCUGGCGGCGUGCCUAACACAUGCAAGUCGAGCGGCAGCGCGAGUAGUUUACUACUUGGCGGCGAGCGGCGGACGGCUGAGUAACACGUGGGAACAUACCCCAAAGUGAGGGAUAACCGCCCGAAAGGGUGGCUAAUACCGCAUAUGAUCUUCGGAUUAAAGGAUUUAUCCGCUUUGGGAAUGGCCUGCGUACGAUUAGAUAGUUGGUGAGGUAAUGGCUCACCAAGUCGACGAUCGUUAGCUGGUCUGAGAGGAUGACCAGCCAGACUGGAACUGAGACACGGUCCAGACUCCUACGGGAGGCAGCAGUGAGGAAUCUUCCACAAUGGGCGAAAGCCUGAUGGAGCAACGCCGCGUGCAGGAUGAAGGCCUUCGGGUCGUAAACUGCUUUUAUGAGUGAAGAAUAUGACGGUAACUCAUGAAUAAGCACCGGCUAACUACGUGCCAGCAGCCGCGGUCAUACGUAGGGUGCAAGCAUUAUCCGGAGUGACUGGGCGUAAAGAGUUGCGUAGGUGGUUCGUAAAGUGAAUAGUGAAAUCUGGUGGCUCAACCAUACAGGCUAUUAUUCAAACUCACGAACUCGAGAAUGGUAGAGGUAACUGGAAUUUCUAGUGUAGGAGUGAAAUCCGUAGAUAUUAGAAGGAACACCAAUGGCGUAGGCAGGUUACUGGACCAUUUCUGACACUGAGGCACGAAAGCGUGGGGAGCGAACGGGAUUAGAUACCCCGGUAGUCCACGCCGUAAACGAUGGAUACUAGCUGUCAGGGGUAUCGACCCCCUUGGUAGCGAAGCUAACGCGUUAAGUAUCCCGCCUGUGGAGUACGGUCGCAAGACUAAAACAUAAAGGAAUUGACGGGGACCCGCACAAGCGGUGGAUCAUGUUCUUUAAUUCGAUGAUAAACGAUGAACCUUACCAGGGCUUGACAUCCCGAGAAUUACUCCGAAAGGAGUGAGUGCUUUUAGAACUCGGUGACAGAUCUUGCAUGGCCGUCGUCAGCUCGUGUCGUGAGAUGUUUGGUUAAGUCCAUCAACGAGCGCAACCCUUGUGAAUAGUUGUAUUUUUCUAUUCAGACUGCCCCGGCAACGGGGAGGAAGGAGGGGAUGAUGUCAGGUCAGUAUUAGUCUUACGUCCUGGGCUAGAAACGUGAUACAAUGGCCGGUACAAUGCGUAGCGAAGCAGCAAUGUGAAGCAAAUCGCAUCAAAGCCGGUCCCAGUUCGGAUUGGGGGCUGAAACUCGCCCCCAUGAAGUCGGAAUCGCUAGUAAUCGCAGAUCAGCAUGUUGCGGUGAAUACGUUCCCGGGUCUUGUACACACCGC